GUGCCAGCAGCCGCGGUAAGACAGAGGUGCCGAGCGUUAGGCGGAAUCACUGGGCUUAAAGCGUGUGUAGGCGGAUUCCUAAGUACCUUGUGAAAUCCCACGGCUUAACCGUGGAACUGCUCGGUAUACUGGGUGUCUUGAGCCAACUAGGGGCGACCGGAACAAACGGUGGAGCGGUGAAAUGCGUAGAUAUCGUUUGGAACGCCAAUGGUGAAAACAGGUCGCUGGGGUUGUGCUGACGCUGAGACACGAAAGCCAGGGGAGCGAACGGGAUUAGAUACCCGUGUAGUCC
rnacentral:rRNA from 1 species